rfam:Cavia porcellus supercont2_0 genomic scaffold, whole genome shotgun sequence.
GGGGAUUUAGCUCAGCGGCAUAAGCGCCUGCCUUGCAAGCAGGCAGUCGUGAGUUAGAUCCCCG